rnacentral:rRNA from 1 species
AGAGUUUGAUCCUGGCUCAGGAAUAACGCUGGCGGCAUGCAUCAUACAUGCAAGUUGAACGGGGUUUGUGAAGCUUGCUUUUCAAACCUAGUGGCGCACGGGUGAGUAACGCGUAGAUAACCUGCCCCUUAGAUUGGGAUAACGGUCCGAAAGGUCCGCUAAUACCGAAUACGAUCCUCGUACCGCAUGGUCGCGGGGAUGAAAGGUAGCCUCUGUUUCAAGCUUCCGCUAAGGGAUGGGUCUGCGUACGAUUAGCUAGUUGGUGGGGUAACGGCCUACCAAGGCAAUGAUCGUUAGCCGGCUUGAGAGAGUGAACGGCCACACUGGAACUGAGACACGGUCCAGACUCCUACGGGAGGCAGCAGUAGGGAAUCUUCCGCAAUGGGCGAAAGCCUGACGGAGCAAUGCCGCGUGAGGGAUGAAGGCCUUCGGGUCGUAAACCUCUGUUGUUAGGGAAGAAUGGUUGGUUGUCCAAUAGGCAGUCAAUUUGACGGUACCUAGCGAGGAAGCCCCGGCUAAUUACGUGCCAGCAGCCGCGGUAACACGUAAGGGGCAAGCGUUUUCCGGAUUUACUGGGCGUAAAAAGCUAGGGGAGCGAACAGGAUUAGAUACCCUGGUAGUCCUAGCUGUAAACGAUGAGUACUAGGUGUUGGGGUUUUAACCUCGGUGCCGGCGCAAACGCAUUAAGUACUCCGCCUGGGGACUACGGUCGCAAGAUUGAAACUCAAAGGAAUUGACGGGGGCCCGCACAAGCGGUGGAGCAUGUGGUUUAAUUCGAUGCAACGCGAAGAACCUUACCUGGCCUUGACAUCCCUGGCAACCCUAUGAAAGUAGGGGUUCCCCGCGAGGGGACUAGGAGACAGGUGGUGCAUGGCUGUCGUCAGCUCGUGUCGUGAGAUGUUGGGUUAAGUCCCGCAACGAGCGCAACCCCUGCUGUUAGUUACCAGCAUUUAGUUGGGGACUCUAGCAGGACUGUCGGUCUUAAACCGGAGGAAGGUGGGGAUGACGUCAAGUCAUCAUGCCCCUUACGGCCAGGGCUACACACGUGCUACAAUGGUCGGUACAGAGAGCUGCAAUGCGGUACCGCGGAGCCAAUCUCCAAAGCCGGCCCAAGUUCGGAUUGAGGGCUGAAACUCGCCCUCAUGAAGGCGGAAUCGCUAGUAAUCGCGAAUCAGCAUGUCGCGGUGAAUACGUUCCCGGGCCUUGUACACACCGCCCGUCACACCACCCGAGUUGGGUGCUCCCGAAGUCGCUGAUCCAACCUUUUCGGAGGAGGAAGGUGCCGAAGGAGUGCUUGGUAAGGGGGGUGAAGUCGAAACAAGGUA